UACGUAGGGGGCGAGCGUUGUCCGGAUUUAUUGGGCGUAAAUGGCUUGUAGGUGGCCACGGUAAGUCGGAUGUGAAAUCUCCCGGCUCAACUGGGAGGGGUCAUUCGAUACUGCCGGGCUCGAGGCCGGUAGGGGGAAGCGGAAUUCCCGGUGUAGUGGUGGAAUGCGUAGAUAUCGGGAGGAACACCAGAGGCGAAGGCGGCUUCCUGGACCGGUCCUGACACUGAGGAGCGAAAGCGUGGGGAGCGAUCCGG
rnacentral:rRNA from 1 species